GGUUGGGCGACUUUGUCGCUUUCAAGAAUUUGCUUCUUGGGUGGGGGGCC
rnacentral:ncRNA from 12 species